rnacentral:rRNA from 1 species
AUUGAACGCUGGCGGCGUGCUUAACACAUGCAAGUCGUUGCGGUAACAGGCGUAGCAAUACGUGCUGACGAGCGGCGAACGGGUGCGUAAUACAUGGGAAUCUGCCCUUUAGUGGGAAUAACCCGGCGAAAGCCGGGCUAAUGCCGCAUAAGAUUCUUCGGAUGAAAGCGGGGGAUCGUAAGACCUCGCGCUGAUGGAUGAGCCCAUGCCGGAUUAGCAGUUGGUGAGGUAACGCUCACCAAGGCGACGAUCCGUAGCUGGUCUGAGAGGACGGCCAGCCACACUGGGACUGAGACACGGCCCAGACU